rnacentral:rRNA from 1 species
UACGUAGGGCGCAAGCGUUGUCCGGAAUUAUUGGGCGAAAAGAGCUCGUAGGCGGUUUGUCGCGUCUGGUGUGAAAACUCGAGGCUCAACCUCGAGCUUGCAUCGGGUACGGGCAGACUAGAGUGCGGUAGGGGAGACUGGAAUUCCUGGUGUAGCGGUGGAAUGCGCAGAUAUCAGGAGGAACACCGAUGGCGAAGGCAGGUCUCUGGGCCGCAACUGACGCUGAGGAGCGAAAGCAUGGGGAGCGAAC